GACGAACCGGACAAACGUUAUUCGGAAUUACUGGGCUUAAAGGGUUUGUAGGCGGCCUUGUAAGUCAGGUGUGAAAUCCCUCGGCUCAACCGAGGAACGUCGAUCGAUACUGCUGUUCUUGAGGAUUGCAGAGGAGACUGGAAUUCCCGGUGUAGCGGUGAAAUGUGUAGAGAUCGGGAGGAACACCGGUGGCGAAGGCGGGUCUCUGGGCAAUUCCUGACGCUGAGGCGCGAAAGCGUGGGGAGCAAACGGG
rnacentral:rRNA from 1 species